rnacentral:rRNA from 1 species
GAUGAACGCUGGCGGCGUGCCUAAUACAUGCAAGUCGAGCGAACAGAUGAGGAGCUUGCUCCUCUGACGUUAGCGGCGGACGGGUGAGUAACACGUGGAUACCCUACCUAUAAGACUGGGAUAACUUCGGGAAACCGGAGCUAAUACCGGAUAAUAUAUUGAACCGCAUGGUUCAAUGGUGAAAGACGGUGUUGCUGUCACUUAUAGAUGGAUCCGCGCCGCAUUAGCUAGUUGGUAAGGUAACGGCUUACCAAGGCAACGAUGCGUAGCCGACCUGAGAGGGUGAUCGGCCACACUGGAACUGAGACACGGACCAGACUCCUACGGGAGGCAGCAGUAGGGAAUCUUGCGCAAUGGGCGAAAGCCUGACGGAGCAACGCCGCGUGAGUGAUGAAGGUCUUCGGAUCGUAAAACUCUGUUAUUAGGGAAGAACAGAUUUGUAAGUAACCAUGCACGUCUUGACGGUACCUAAUCAGAAAGCCCCGGCUAACUACGUG